AUUAAACGCUGGCGGCAUGCCUUACACAUGCAAGUCGAACGGCAGCACGGGGCAACCUGGUGGCGAGUGGCGAACGGGUGAGUAAUGCAUCGGAACGUGCCAUUGAGUGGGGGAUAACGUAGCGAAAGUUGCGCUAAUACCGCAUAUUCUGUGAGCAGGAAAGCAGGGGGACCGCAAGACCUUGCGCUCUGGGAGCGGCCGAUGUCGGAUUAGCUAGUUGGUGGGGUAAAGGCCUACCAGGGCGACGAUCCGUAGCGGGUCUGAGAGGAUGAUCCGCCACACUGGGACUGAGACACGGCCCAGACUCCUACGGGAGGCAGCAGUGGGGAAUUUUGGACAAUGGGCGAAAGCCUGAUCCAGCCAUGCCGCGUGAGUGAAGAAGGCC
rnacentral:rRNA from 1 species